GUUUUUAAGUAUCGAAAAUUACUGUUUUUGUAGUGUUUCCUGGUGCCUAAGCCAUACCAGAAUUCAAAGCAGCCUCCUAUAAGUGCAUCAGAGCAGAAGCGGCUAUUAAGAGUUCAUUUUCCAGAUGCAGAGAACAAAAUAAUCCAUAACAUAGGGUGUUGUAAACCAGUGAUUAAGCUUUUAAAGCUAUUGAGGGAUAAAGAAAACUGGAAAAUUCUUGCUUCAUAUUAUCUGAAAACAGUAGUAAUAUGGAUGAUUCUAGAAAAUAAUGAUAAAGAAUAUUGGAAAGAUGACAGAAUGGGCGAGAGAUUUCUGGAGGCUCUUAAAAAACUACAGUCAUAUGUGUUAAACAAGCGUCUUCCAUACUUUUUCAGUU